AGCGAACGCUGGCGGCAGGCUUAACACAUGCAAGUCGAGCGGGCAUCUUCGGAUGUCAGCGGCAGACGGGUGAGUAACACGUGGGAACGUACCCUUCGGUUCGGAACAACUCUGGGAAACUGGAGCUAAUACCGGAUACGCCCUUAUGGGGAAAGGUUUACUGCCGAAGGAUCGGCCCGCGUCUGAUUAGCUAGGUGGUGGGGUAACGGCCUACCAAGGCGACGAUCAGUAGCUGGUCUGAGAGGAUGAUCAGCGACACUGGGACUGAGACACGGCCCAGACUCCUACGGGAGGCAGCGGAGGGGAAUAUUGGACAAUGGGCGCAAGCCUGAUCCAGCCAGGCCGCGUGAGUGAUGAAGGCCUUAGAGUUGUAAAGCUCUUUUGGCCGGGACGAUAAUGACGGUACCGGAAGAAUAAGCCCCGGCUAACUUCGUG
rnacentral:rRNA from 1 species